rnacentral:misc_RNA from 1 species
UCGUCUCAUCAGACCGCUCUAAAAAUCUCGCAAACCCGGAGCCGGCAGAAUCGAGUUAUCUCCUUAAAGUCGUCAACUAUCUCUGGCAGCCUGAUGCAUCCGGCUACCAACAUGUUUGGCCGGCAAUGGAAUUUGGCUGGCAAAUUGUUGUUGGUUCGAUAAUUGGGUUCUUCGGGGCGGCGUUCGGGAGCGUCGGAGGUGUCGGUGGUGGCGGUAUCUUCGUUCCCAUGCUUACACUGAUCGUUGGGUUUGAUCCGAAAUCAUCGACGGCUAUAUCAAAAUGUAUGAUCACGGGUGCGGCGGCGUCGACGGUGUACUACAAUCUCAAGCUGACGCAUCCGACGUUGGACAUGCCGAUCAUCGACUACGACUUGGCUUUGUUGUUCCAGCCGAUGCUCAUGCUUGGGAUCAGUAUCGGAGUUGCUUUCAAUGUGUUGUUUGCUGAUUGGAUGGUGACGGUUCUUCUAAUCAUCCUGUUCUUAGGUACAUCGACGAAAGCCUUCUUGAAGGGCGUUGAAACAUGGAAGAAGGAAACCAUUAUCAAAAAGGAGAAAGCGAGGCACUUAGAGUCGAAAGGCACAGAAAGUGAAGCAGUGGAAUACAAUGCCCUACCUUCGGGGCCUAGCAACGGAGAACAAAAGGAGAUCAAGAACAAUGCUGAUGUGGAGGUUUCAGUUCUUGAGAAUGUAUGUUGGAAGGAGCUCGGCCUGCUGGUCUUUGUUUGGGUGGCUUUUCUUGCAGUUCAGGUUUCAAAGAACUAUACCGCAACCUGUUCAACUGGGUAUUGGAUUUUGAACUUACUGCAGAUCCCUGUCUCUUUUGGGGUGAGUUCGUACCAAGCGAUAAGCUUAUAUACAGGAAGGAGGGUGAUUGCAUCCAAGGGAGAGCAGGGGACGAACUGGAGAGUAAUGCAAUUGAUCUUGUAUUGCUUUUGUGGCGUCCUAGCUGGUGUAGUUGGAGGCCUGCUCGGUCUAGGGGGAGGGUUUAUCCUUGGUCCACUUUUCUUGGAGCUUGGCAUUCCUCCACAGGUUUCAAGUGCUACUGCUACCUUCGCUAUGACAUUCUCCGCAUCGAUGUCUGUUAUUGAAUACUACCUCUUGAAGCGUUUCCCCGUCCCAUAUGCUCUCUAUUUUGUUGCUGUGGCCACAUUUGCUGCCUUGGUUGGCCAACAUGCUGUGAGGAAACUUAUUGACUUCCUUGGAAGAGCAUCGCUUAUUAUAUUCAUCCUGGCUUUCACCAUCUUUGUUAGCGCAAUUUCACUGGGAGGAGUUGGUAUCUCGAACAUGAUCAAGAAAAUCGAGAACCAUGAAUACAUGGGGUUCGACAACAUCUGCAAGUACCAGAUUUAGCUCCAACAGUAAAGAUUGUCGACAGGAUUAGUCGGCUUAUAUUCUUG